AGAGUUUGAUCCUGGCUCAGGAUGAACGCUGGCGGCGUGCCUAACACAUGCAAGUCGAACGAAGCUUGACGGAUGAUUUCUUCGGAAUGAAACCAGAUAUGACUUAGUGGCGGACGGGUGAGUAACACGUGAGCAACCUGCCUUUCAGAGGGGGAUAACGGCUGGAAACGGUCGCUAAUACCGCAUGAUGUGUUCGGAUGGCAUCAUCUGAACAUCAAAGAUUUAUCGCUGAAAGAUGGGCUCGCGUCUGAUUAGAUAGUUGGUGGGGUAACGGCCUACCAAGUCGACGAUCAGUAGCCGGACUGAGAGGUUGAACGGCCACAUUGGGACUGAGAUACGGCCCAGACUCCUACGGGAGGCAGCAGUGGGGAAUAUUGCACAAUGGGGGAAACCCUGAUGCAGCAACGCCGCGUGAAGGAUGACGGUUUUCGGAUUGUAAACUUCUUUUCUUAGUGACGAAGACAGUGACGGUAGCUAAGGAAUAAGCAUCGGCUAACUACGUGCCAGCAGCCGCGGUAAUACGUAGGAUGCAAGCGUUAUCCGGAUUUACUGGGUGUAAAGGGAGCGCAGGCGGGACUGCAAGUUGGAUGUGAAAUACCGUGGCUUAACCACGGAACUGCAUCCAAAACUGUAGUUCUUGAGUGAAGUAGAGGCAAGCGGAAUUCCGAGUGUAGCGGUGAAAUGCGUAGAUAUUCGGAGGAACACCAGUGGCGAAGGCGGCUUGCUGGGCUUUAACUGACGCUGAGGCUCGAAAGUGUGGGGAGCAAACAGGAUUAGAUACCCUGGUAGUCCACACUGUAAACGAUGAUAGCUAGGUGUGGGGGGUCUGACCCCUUCCGUGCCGGAGUUAACGCAAUAAGCUAUCCACCUGGGGAGUACGACCGCAAGGUUGAAACUCAAAGGAAUUGACGGGGGCCC
rnacentral:rRNA from 1 species